rnacentral:rRNA from 1 species
GCUCCAAUAGCGUAUAUUAAAGUUGUUGCGGUUAAAAAGCUCGUAGUUGGAUUUCUGUUGAGAACGGCUCGUCCUCGCUAUGCGUGUGUAUGUGGUUCGAUCUCGGCAUCCUCCAGGGGUACGUUCCUGCGCUUAGUUGCGUGGGGCGGAAUUCUGGACUUUUACUUUGAGGAAAUUAGAGUGUUCACGGCAGGCAAUCG